rfam:Pteropus alecto contig34227, whole genome shotgun sequence.
CAUGAGGCUUUUCUUGAAGCCACACUAAAUAAAACUUUAUAUAAGAU